UAGAAUUUCCCUUCUCGAUGCCGAUCCUUUCCUUCUGCUUUCAGUCUACGUAACAACACGAUUUCUUCGCUCUCCGCAACACCGCUUUCUUUCUUUCCUAUCCACGACAGAAGGGUUCUUCCCUCUCCGCAGCACUACCUUCUUUCUUUCCUCUCUGCAGUAGCAAGCUUUCUUCCCUCUCCGCAGCAAGGAAGAGUGAAGCUCGAGAUAUCGAGUUCCUCCUUCCGAUUCUGUACUUCUAAGGGUUUUUGGAAUCACUCACUAUGAUGGAUUCAUCAUCUCCGAACCAUCUAGAGUUCGAUUAUUUGUUUAAGUUGUUGCUUAUUGGUGAUUCUAGCAUUAUUAAAAGUCGUUAUCUUCUCAGAUUCACUUUGGACUCCUUUGAAGAUAUUUUCCCUACAAUUGGUGUUGAUUUUAUAGUAAAGAUUGUCAACAUUGGGGGUAAAAGGUUGAAGUUUGCAGUCUAGUCUAGGAUAUAGCAAGCUUGUCGGGAAACAAAAUGGAGUUGGAGGAAUUGGAUGUAGUGUCAACAAAAGAAGAUGACUUGAUAUAUGCUUUUCUAAACAAAAUGGAGUUGGAGGAACUUAAUGUUUUAAGUGCAUUUGUAAAUACUUUUAGCUAGUUUGGGCUACUUUUGGAAUCAAUACUUUUACAUUAGUAUUGUAUUUGUAAAUUUGACUUAAAUGAUAUUAGAUGAAUAAAAAUUUAGUGAUA